rnacentral:tRNA from 1 species
GCCUAGUUAGCGCAGUAGGCAGCGCGUCAGUCUCAUAAUCUGAAGGUCGUGAGUUCGAUCAUCACACGAGGCA